GGAGAGGUGGCCGAGUGGCUUAAGGCGACGGUUUGCUAAAUCGUUGUACUGUUAUAGGUACCGGGGGUUCGAAUCCCCCCCUCUCCU
rnacentral:tRNA from 1 species